rnacentral:misc_RNA from 1 species
AUUGUAAGGUAAUCGACCGGAUCUUUGAGCUUCAAAGUAAAGGAGACUCUUGGAAAGAGCAUCUGCAUAGUCAAAAGCUACAGCAGAAGAAGAAAAAAUGGUGGAAAAUGAAAGAAGAAGAGAAAAAUAGUGCAAAUAAAAACUCUUCAUGAUGAUGGAAAUUGAUUUUUUUUUCCUUUGUUUGUUUGCUUGUUUCUCCUUCUACUGUCACUCCUAAAGA